CCUACGGGCGGCAGCAGUGAGGAAUAUUGGUCAAUGGACGAGAGCCUGAACCAGCCAAGUAGCGUGAAGGAUGACUGCCCUAGGGGUGGUAAACUUCGUUUAUAUGGGAAUAAAAUGUUCCACGUGUGGGAUUUUGUAUGUACCAUAUGAAUAAGGAUCGGCUAACUCCGUGCCAGCAGCCGCGGUAAUACGGAGGAUCCGAGCGUUAUCCGGAUUUAUUGGGUUUAAAGGGAGCGUAGGUGGAUUGUUAAGUCAGUUGUGAAAGUUUGCGGCUCAACCGUAAGAUUGCAGUUGAAACUGGCAGUCUUGAGUACAGUAGAGGUGGGCGGAAUUCGGGGUGUAGCGGUGAAAUGCUUAGAUAUCACGAAGAACUCCGAUUGCGAAGGCAGCUCACUGGACUGCAACUGACACUGAGGCUCGAAAGUGUGGGUAUCAAACAGGAUUAGAUACCCUUGUAGUC
rnacentral:rRNA from 1 species